rnacentral:rRNA from 1 species
UACGUAGGGUGCAAGCGUUGUCCGGAAUUAUUGGGCGUAAAGAGCUUGUAGGCGGUUUGUCGCGUCUGCUGUGAAAUUUCGGGGCUCAACCCCGAACUUGCAGUGGGUACGGGCAGACUAGAGUGUGGUAGGGGAGACUGGAAUUCCUGGUGUAGCGGUGAAAUGCGCAGAUAUCAGGAAGAACACCAGUGGCGAAGGCGGCGAUCUGGGAAGAUACUGACGCUGAGGUGCGAAAGCGUGGGGAGCAAACAGG